AGACGGUGCUGGUGACUCGUCCACACUGCUCGCUGCGGAUACUCCAGGCGUCUCCCGUUGCGGCCGCUCCCUGCCUUAGAGGCCAGCCUUGGACACUUGCUGCCCCUUUCCAGCCCGGAUUCUGGGAUCCUUCCCUCUGAGCCAACAUCUGGGUCCUGCCUUCGACACCACCCCUAGGCUUCCUACCUUGCGUGCCUGGAGUCUGCCCCAGGGGCCCUUGUCCUGGGCCAUGGCCCAGAAGGGGGUCCUGGGGCCUGGACAGCUGGUGGCUGUGGCCAUUCUGCUGUAUCUUGGAUUACUCGGGUCGGGGACAGGAGCGGAAGGGGCAGAAGCCGCCUGCGGUGUGGCCCCCCAAGCACGCAUCACAGGUGGCAGCAGUGCAGAUGCCGGUCAGUGGCCCUGGCAGGUCAGCAUCACCCAUGAAGGCGUCCAUGUGUGUGGUGGCUCUCUCGUGUCUGAGCAGUGGGUGCUGUCAGCUGCUCACUGCUUCCCCAGGUACCAAAUGGUGAAAGUCAAAAGUG
rnacentral:sRNA from 1 species